GCGGAUGUAGCACAACGGUUAGUGCUUCUGCCUUCCAAGCAGAAGACGCGGGUUCGACUCCCGUCAUCCGCUCGA
rnacentral:tRNA from 1 species